AUUGAACGCUGGCGGCAGGCUUAACACAUGCAAGUCGAGCGCGCGGCGGCCGGGUGAGUAAUGUCUGGGACACUGCCUGAUGGAGGGGGAUAACUACUGGAUACGGUAGCUCAUACCGCAUACCAUCCGAUGUGCCCAGAUGGGAUUAGCUAGUCGGGGGGGUAAUGGCUCACCUAGGCGACGGUCCCUAGCUGGUCUUAGAGGAUGACCAGUCAAGCGGGAACUGAGACACGGUCCAGACUCCGACGGGGGGAAGGAGGGGGGAAAAUUGCACAAUGGGGGAAAGCCGGAUGGAGCCAUGACGCGUGUGUGAAGAAGGCCUUCGGGUUGUAAAGCACUUUAAGCGAGGAGGCGUGACUCGCAGAAGAAGCACCGGCUAACUCCGUGCCAGCAGCCGCGGUAAUACC
rnacentral:rRNA from 1 species